UUUUCUUUUCUUUACCCUACCUACUGUUUCUAGAGUUCUCUAGUUACAAGUAGCUGUGAGUAGAAUGGUGAAUACUAAAUAAUGUUUUCUAGAGUGUUCCUACUAUAAGUAGAACCAUGUGAAGGCUUCCCAAAGCCCUAUAAAUAGAGGUCCUCACCUCUAGUUUCUAACCAAACUAGGUGCCCACUAUCUAUAAUAGAACUUGUACUUCCUAUCUAAGAUCUUGGACUAGAUCUUGUGCUCUAGGAGUUUUUGAUUGAACUCUUGCUGCCAUAUUGGCCUACACUCGCCUCUAGAGCGAUAUCUAGCACAUCAUGUUGAAGUGGUUCCUUCAACUCUAGUGUUGUACAUUUUGUAGCAGCAAGGUGGAGUUGCUCCUCCACAACCUUGUGCUGCUUCAGGUGGCAUCAUAGCCCCUUUGAUCCAUACAUGUUUUUUGCUGUUCUCUUUGAGAGCAAGCUGCAACAAGCAAUGGAGCAAUUGAAGAAGAGGAUGGAUGCUGCAGAACAAUAAAUUAAAGAGCUGCGUGAAGAUCUUAAUCGGAGAUUUGACCAGCUGGCUGAGAUGAUAAGAAAGGGUGUACCCCCUGUUGCCAAUGAAGAAGAUUCAUCAAAAGAAGAUGUUCAAGAAAGAAGGAGAGGUAAUCUUGGAGCAAGACCGCCACAACAACGUGUUGUGGCCAAUUUAUGUUGAAGCUUCUGAAGGUGAAGAAUAUGGUGAUGCCCUUGAAGAACAUGAUCUCCGCGCAUUUCAGCCACGCAUUUCAGAGAGUACCCAGCCCUAAAUAUGCAAAUGAUACAUACAAGGUGAAAGUUGAGAUCCCAACUUCUAAUGGAAAUAUUAAUAUUGAAGGGUGUCUUGAUUGGUUAUAUGAAUUGGAGACUUUCUUUGAGGUCAUGGAGGUUCCGGAAGUCGUAGAGUUCCUUUCGUCGCAUAGAAGCUGAAAGGAGGAGCCGGUGAAUGGUGGCACCGUAUUCAAGAAGAGCGCAUACUGAGAGGAGAACCUCGUGUGAGAACUUGGUGGCAAAUGAAAAUAUUUUGUAAGAUGACAUGAAGGAGUUUCUAAGGCUACAAGUGAGGUGCAACCUUGCCGAAACUGAAGAUCAACAAGUUGCAAGAUACAUCAUGUUGGAGAUAAACACGUCAUUCCUAUCCUAGCCGCCUCGGAAUAGGGGACAGUCACCGAAUAUGUUAUGUAAUAGGAUUAGCUGCUAGCUAGUAUAUAUAUGUAACCACCCCUUGCAAUCUUUGUACCAUCGUGAGAGAUCAAUACAAAGAUUUUCAACAAUUGCGAAA